CCUACGGGGGACAGCAGUGGGGAAUAUUGCACAAUGGGGGAAACCCUGAUGCAGCAACGCCGCGUGAGUGAAGAAGUAUUUCGGUAUGUAAAGCUCUAUCAGCAGGGAAGAAGAUGACGGUACCUGAUUAAGAAGCCCCGGCUAACUACGUGCCAGCAGCCGCGGGAAUACGUAGGGGGCAAGCGUUAUCCGGAUUUACUGGGUGUAAAGGGAGCGCAGACGGCAGUGGAAGUCUGGAGUGAAAGCCCGGGGCCCAACCCCGGAACUGCUCUGGAAACUGUGCGGCUAGAGUACUGGAGGGGCAGGCGGAAUUCCUAGUGUAGCGGUGAAAUGCGUAGAGAUCGGGAGGAACACCAGUGGCGAAGGCGGCCUGCUGGGCUUUAACUGACGCUGAAGCACGAAAGCGUGGGUAGCAAACAGGAUUAGAUACCCCUGUAGUC
rnacentral:rRNA from 1 species